rnacentral:tRNA from 1 species
UGCCCUGUCGUCUAAUCGGUAGGACUUCAGAUUCUGGAUCUGACUAUUGUGGUUCGAGUCCACACGGGGCAACCA